rnacentral:rRNA from 1 species
AUUGAACGCUGGCGGAAUGCUUUACACAUGCAAGUCGAACGGCAGCACGGGGGCAGCCCUGGUGGCGAGUGGCGAACGGGUGAGUAAUACAUCGGAACGUGCCCGGUCGUGGGGGAUAACGUAGCGAAAGUUACGCUAAUACCGCAUACGAUCUGAGGAUGAAAGCGGGGGACCUUCGGGCCUCGCGCGAUCGGAGCGGCCGAUGUCAGAUUAGGUAGUUGGUGGGGUAAAGGCCUACCAAGCCGACGAUCUGUAGCUGGUCUGAGAGGACGACCAGCCACACUGGGACUGAGACACGGCCCAGACUCCUACGGGAGGCAGCAGUGGGGAAUUUUGGACAAUGGGCGCAAGCCUGAUCCAGCCAUUCCGCGUGCAAGACGAAGGCCUUCGGGUUGUAAACUGCUUUUGUACGGAACGAAAAGGCUCUGGCUAAUACCUGGGGCUCAUGACGGUACCGUAAGAAUAAGCACCGGCUAACUACGUG